rnacentral:tRNA from 1 species
AAGAAAUAACAUAAAAUAAGCUUCUAACUUAAUUUAAAGCGUUAAACGUUUUUAUUUCU